GACCUCAAAUCAGGUAGGACUACCCGCA
rnacentral:rRNA from 1 species